rnacentral:rRNA from 1 species
CCUACGGGAGGCAGCAGUGGGGAAUAUUGCACAAUGGGGGAAACCCUGAUCCAGCGACGCCGCGUGAGUGAAGAAGUAUUUCGGUACGUAAAGCUCUAUCAGCAGGGAAGAAAAUGACGGUACCUGACUAAGAAGACCCGGCUAACAACGUGCCCGCAGCCGCGGUAAUACGUAGGGGGCAAGCGUUAUCCGGAUUUACUGGGUGUAAAGGGAGCGUAGACGGCAGUACAAGUCUGGAGUGAACUCCCGGGGCUUAACCCCGGAACUGCUUUGGAAACUGUGCGGCUGGAGUGCAGGAGGGGUAAGCGGAAUUCCUAGUGUAGCGGUGAAAUGCGUAGAUAUUAGGAGGAACACCAGUGGCGAAGGCGGCUUACUGGACUGUAACUGACGUUGAGGCUCGAAAGCGUGGGGAGCAAACAGGAUUAGAUACCCCAGUAGUC